UCAGGCCUAACACAUGCAAGUCGAACGGCAGCAUAGGAGCUUGCUCCUGAUGGCGAGUGGCGAACGGGUGAGUAAUAUAUCGGAACGUGCCCUAGAGUGGGGGAUAACUAGUCGAAAGACUAGCUAAUACCGCAUACGAUCUACGGAUGAAAGUGGGGGAUCGCAAGACCUCAUGCUCCUGGAGCGGCCGAUAUCUGAUUAGCUAGUUGGUGGGGUAAAAGCCUACCAAGGCGACGAUCAGUAGCUGGUCUGAGAGGACGACCAGCCACACUGGGACUGAGACACGGCCCAGACUCCUACGGGAGGCAGCAGUGGGGAAUUUUGGACAAUGGGGGCAACCCUGAUCCAGCAAUGCCGCGUGAGUGAAGAAGGCCUUCGGGUUGUAAAGCUCUUUUGUCAGGGAAGAAACAGUAGUAGCUAAUAUCUAUUACUAAUGACGGUACCUGAAGAAUAAGCACCGGCUAACUACGUGCCAGCAGCCGCGGUAAUACGUAGGGUGCAAGCGUUAAUCGGAAUUACUGGGCGUAAAGCGUGCGCAGGCGGUUGUGUAAGUCAGAUGUGAAAUCCCCGGGCUCAACCUGGGAAUUGCAUUUGAUACUGCACGGCUAGAGUGUGUCACAGGGGGGUAUAACUCCCCGCGUAGCAGCGAA
rnacentral:rRNA from 1 species